GGACACACCAGGCCAGCCGUGAGGGAGAUAGGGCCCCUCGGGGAAGCUCAGAGACGCUGGACGGUCGUCCAAAGUGACAACACAGGGUAACAAGAGUUGUGAUGGUCAAAGUGAGAGCACCGGUCCCUCCUUGGGAGGGUCACGGGAUGCCUUCCAGAAGGACCCCUCCUUCACACAACCCUAAGGAAGGAGGAAAGAAAGGUGGGAUGCGACGGUUUUGAAGACUGACGAUGCAAAGUUCCUAUCCGAAGGAGCUUCUGGACAGUAGAGUUGAGAAAGAGUGUCUACCUGCAUCCACGUUUCUGGUUAUAGGAUCUCCCCAGAGGAGGAACCUCAUAGAAUACAAACAAAACAAACAACUCCGGCUCGAAGUCACAGAAUGAGAAGAGGAGACAGCAAAGAAAGACUCCGUAAGAAGGACCUUAUCAGGUACUGUUAACAACUAAACACAACAGUAAACUCGUGCCUCCCGAGUCAAAAGACGUAAGCCACAGGAAACCACUGGGAGGCUGUCCUGAGACCUCAAUCGGUGCCAUGUGAGGGAUGGUUCCAAAACAGACAAGGGCAGGAAGCUGCACCUUCCCUCCAAGACCACUGGGACCAGGCUGGUAACUGCAGGAAGUGCCACCUUCCCUCAAGACCCACCAGACAAGACCGCCAGAGCUACCCAGGAGGGUGCUUUAAUCUGCAUGUGCUUUUGCUCUUUUUCUCUCCUCUCUGUCAAGUUAAGGUUUAAACGGUUGAUGCUUCUUAGCUAUUAACCAUGACACCUCCAAGGUCUUUCAUACUGUUAUUCAGUUGUUCAUAUUUUACCUCAGUCCCUCCUCAGUUGGAGAGUCCAGGGCCAGGCUGCAACUUACUCACCAUUUGGCUACAACAUGCGAUUACACAGUAUGCUGGCUUUGUACUCACCUGUCUUUCGGGGCCAUCCAGCUUUCUUUGCUGUCAGUGUCAUGGAAUUAAUCAAAUUACUUCCUAGGUGAUAAGACUCAACCGAGAAGUGAUCUGGGGAUUAAAAAUAGUUUAACAGGUCAAACAACCAGAAUUCUAGAACCUUCUAUCACGUCAUACAUAGAAGGGAAUUUGGGGGUCCUAAACAAAAAACGCUCAGAAACCUUUUGUUUAGCUUUCCCUUUUUGUUAGCUUUUCCAAGUAAACUUUCACAAAAGGAAAGCCAGUGGUGAGGGUAAAAUGAGGGACAAAGAAGUGUUUUGAGAAAAUGGGACCCAAUGAGAGGAAAAGAGAUGGUAAGAGUUCACUGAGGGAAGAGGGCCCCCAAAGGGUACUCAAGCAAGGAAGCAACUGAGGUGAAUAUACCUCUGGAGAGUCCGCAGAGAAUACAGAAGGCAGCGGUAUGGAGUCUGCAGACGGUCUAGAACGUGGGCAUCUGUAGAAUCCAGUGAGAAAGUAGAAACCAAAAGUACAGGGACUGAGUGGUCCAUUAUAGGUCUUCAGAAGGUCCGUGAGCGGCUGAAGGCAGAGAUUGAUCUAAGCCCCUCAGAGGAAUGGUGGGAGCCAUAGGGCGGUGAGGCAACAGCAUCUUCCACAGACUCCCAAACAGCAGAAUGUCAGCUUCCAUGGCCGCUAUAUCACACAACUCACAGUGGGGAUCUUGAUAAAAGUGCUGCCACAGACUGCCUGUAAUUGGGACCUUGUCCAAGUGGCUGCAGAAGGCAAGAGGAGUAAGCUAAGGUCAGUGAGCUGGGAUGGGGCCUGGCAGAGCUAGAAACACUCUAUGUUCCCCCACAUCCCAAACUUCACAGUGUUUCCCUCAUUCCUCACACCAAGGCUUUCUUUCACAUUCCCUUCCCUCCAGGCUUCCGAGCCGACGUCAACCGCAGGCUGCACUGGGCCCUGCCACUGCAUAAGUCAUCCUAGGAAGGGGGACCCCAGGAAAGAGGAGAGAGAGAGUCCUCUCCUCUGUUCCCCAGGAAAGCUUGUCCUGUGCUCCAUCAGAUUCUUCCAGAUUCUCCAAUCUGAGAAUCCAAGAACUUGGUUUACUUGUGGUAAAAAGAGGAACAAAGUGAUAUUUUAGGAGUCUUUGUGGAAUGAUAUCUUGGGGCAGACUCUUGGAAGACUAAGACUCUGAAAGCAGGAAAACUAUUACACAAGGUAAAAUUGUCCAUGACAAGAAUGGGAAGUCUCUUCCCAGACAUUCUCUCGUGCGAUCCUCACAACAACCCUGUGAGGUAUGGAGACCAGGUGACACCUCAGAGGAGGAGCCUGAAUCUUGUGGAGGUCAGGACCUGGGAGUUCUGCCCC